rnacentral:lncRNA from 1 species
CCAAUGUGGAGUUUGUGCUAUCCCUGCGGGGGCCCAACAGUGGUAUCAGAGCCAUGGCCCAGACCUAACCAUGUGGUGGAAGUUGCCGGAUCCUCGGUGCCGAACAAAAAAUGGUGAGCUCCCGGUGCGCAAAUGGAGGCGGCUCGACGAGCUCCAGGUGGGAGGCUCGGUGGUGUGAGCCACAGGCGCAAAUUGAGGGGAGGCUCUGUGGUCCUUAGUGGUCCGACCUGUGUGGUACUUUGUUCGAGGGGAGGAUUGUUGAGGUGCAAACAAUGUCCCACAUCGGUUAAAUAUGGGAAAGAUCUAUGGUUUAUAUGGAGGGGAUAGUAACUCCAUUGGUAUGAGG